rnacentral:rRNA from 1 species
GGGUUGUGAGGUUAAGCGACUAAGCGUACACGGUGGAUGCCCUGGCAGUCAGAGGCGAUGAAGGACGUGCUAAUCUGCGAUAAGCGUCGGUAAGGUGAUAUGAACCGUUAUAACCGGCGAUUUCCGAAUGGGGAAACCCAGUGUGAUUCGUCACACUAUCAUUAACUGAAUCCAUAGGUUAAUGAGGCGAACCGGGGGAACUGAAACAUCUAAGUACCCCGAGGAAAAGAAAUCAACCGAGAUUCCCCCAGUAGCGGCGAGCGAACGGGGAGCAGCCCAGAGCCUGAAUCAGUGUGUGUGUUAGUGGAAGCGUCUGGAAAGGCGCGCGAUACAGGGUGACAGCCCCGUACACAAAAAUGCACAUGCUGUGAGCUCGAUGAGUAGGGCGGGACACGUGGUAUCCUGUCUGAAUAUGGGGGGACCAUCCUCCAAGGCUAAAUACUCCUGACUGACCGAUAGUGAACCAGUACCGUGAGGGAAAGGCGAAAAGAACCCCGGCGAGGGGAGUGAAAAAGAACCUGAAACCGUGUACGUACAAGCAGUGGGAGCACGCUUAGGCGUGUGACUGCGUACCUUUUGUAUAAUGGGUCAGCGACUUAUAUUCUGUAGCAAGGUUAACCGAAUAGGGGAGCCGAAGGGAAACCGAGUCUUAACUGGGCGUUAAGUUGCAGGGUAUAGACCCGAAACCCGGUGAUCUAGCCAUGGGCAGGUUGAAGGUUGGGUAACACUAACUGGAGGACCGAACCGACUAAUGUUGAAAAAUUAGCGGAUGACUUGUGGCUGGGGGUGAAAGGCCAAUCAAACCGGGAGAUAGCUGGUUCUCCCCGAAAGCUAUUUAGGUAGCGCCUCGUGAAUUCAUCUCCGGGGGUAGAGCACUGUUUCGGCAAGGGGGUCAUCCCGACUUACCAACCCGAUGCAAACUGCGAAUACCGGAGAAUGUUAUCACGGGAGACACACGGCGGGUGCUAACGUCCGUCGUGAAGAGGGAAACAACCCAGACCGCCAGCUAAGGUCCCAAAGUCAUGGUUAAGUGGGAAACGAUGUGGGAAGGCCCAGACAGCCAGGAUGUUGGCUUAGAAGCAGCCAUCAUUUAAAGAAAGCGUAAUAGCUCACUGGUCGAGUCGGCCUGCGCGGAAGAUGUAACGGGGCUAAACCAUGCACCGAAGCUGCGGCAGCGACGCUGAUGCGUUGUUGGGUAGGGGAGCGUUCUGUAAGCCUGCGAAGGUGUGCUGUGAGGCAUGCUGGAGGUAUCAGAAGUGCGAAUGCUGACAUAAGUAACGAUAAAGCGGGUGAAAAGCCCGCUCGCCGGAAGACCAAGGGUUCCUGUCCAACGUUAAUCGGGGCAGGGUGAGUCGACCCCUAAGGCGAGGCCGAAAGGCGUAGUCGAUGGGAAACAGGUUAAUAUUCCUGUACUUGGUGUUACUGCGAAGGGGGGACGGAGAAGGCUAUGUUGGCCGGGCGACGGUUGUCCCGGUUUAAGCGUGUAGGCUGGUUUUCCAGGCAAAUCCGGAAAAUCAAGGCUGAGGCGUGAUGACGAGGCACUACGGUGCUGAAGCAACAAAUGCCCUGCUUCCAGGAAAAGCCUCUAAGCAUCAGGUAACAUCAAAUCGUACCCCAAACCGACACAGGUGGUCAGGUAGAGAAUACCAAGGCGCUUGAGAGAACUCGGGUGAAGGAACUAGGCAAAAUGGUGCCGUAACUUCGGGAGAAGGCACGCUGAUAUGUAGGUGAAGUCCCUCGCGGAUGGAGCUGAAAUCAGUCGAAGAUACCAGCUGGCUGCAACUGUUUAUUAAAAACACAGCACUGUGCAAACACGAAAGUGGACGUAUACGGUGUGACGCCUGCCCGGUGCCGGAAGGUUAAUUGAUGGGGUUAGCGCAAGCGAAGCUCUUGAUCGAAGCCCCGGUAAACGGCGGCCGUAACUAUAACGGUCCUAAGGUAGCGAAAUUCCUUGUCGGGUAAGUUCCGACCUGCACGAAUGGCGUAAUGAUGGCCAGGCUGUCUCCACCCGAGACUCAGUGAAAUUGAACUCGCUGUGAAGAUGCAGUGUACCCGCGGCAAGACGGAAAGACCCCGUGAACCUUUACUAUAGCUUGACACUGAACAUUGAGCCUUGAUGUGUAGGAUAGGUGGGAGGCUUUGAAGUGUGGACGCCAGUCUGCAUGGAGCCGACCUUGAAAUACCACCCUUUAAUGUUUGAUGUUCUAACGUUGACCCGUAAUCCGGGUUGCGGACAGUGUCUGGUGGGUAGUUUGACUGGGGCGGUCUCCUCCUAAAGAGUAACGGAGGAGCACGAAGGUUGGCUAAUCCUGGUCGGACAUCAGGAGGUUAGUGCAAUGGCAUAAGCCAGCUUGACUGCGAGCGUGACGGCGCGAGCAGGUGCGAAAGCAGGUCAUAGUGAUCCGGUGGUUCUGAAUGGAAGGGCCAUCGCUCAACGGAUAAAAGGUACUCCGGGGAUAACAGGCUGAUACCGCCCAAGAGUUCAUAUCGACGGCGGUGUUUGGCACCUCGAUGUCGGCUCAUCACAUCCUGGGGCUGAAGUAGGUCCCAAGGGUAUGGCUGUUCGCCAUUUAAAGUGGUACGCGAGCUGGGUUUAGAACGUCGUGAGACAGUUCGGUCCCUAUCUGCCGUGGGCGCUGGAGAAUUGAGGGGGGCUGCUCCUAGUACGAGAGGACCGGAGUGGACGCAUCACUGGUGUUCGGGUUGUCAUGCCAAUGGCACUGCCCGGUAGCUAAAUGCGGAAGAGAUAAGUGCUGAAAGCAUCUAAGCACGAAACUUGCCCCGAGAUGAGUUCUCCCUGACUCCUUGAGAGUCCUGAAGGAACGUUGAAGACGACGACGUUGAUAGGCCGGGUGUGUAAGCGCAGCGAUGCGUUGAGCUAACCGGUACUAAUGAACCGUGAGGCUUAACCUUACAACGCCGAAGGUGUUU